UAAGUCCCGCAACGAGCGCAACCCUKGUCAUUAGKUGCUACGAAAGGGCACUNUAAUGAGACUGCCGGAGACAAGCCGGAGGAAGGUGGGGACGACGUCAAGUCCUCAUGGCCCUKAUAGGUGGGGSUACACACGUCAUACAAUGGCUGGUACAGAGGGUUGCCAACCCGCGAGGGGGAGCCAAUCCCAUAAAACCAGUCGUAGUCCGGAUCGCAGUCUGCAACUCGACUGCGUGAAGUCGGAAUCGCUAGUAAUCGCGGAUCAGCAUGUCGCGGUGAAUACGUUCCCGGGUCUUGUACACACCGCCCGUCACACCAUGGGAGCGGUUCUGCCAGAAGUAGUUAGCCUAACCGCAAGGAGGGCGAUUACCACGGCAGGUUCGUGACU
rnacentral:rRNA from 1 species